UUUUACCUCGGGGGGCAGCAGUGGGGAAUAUUGCACAAUGGGGGAAACCCUGAUGCAGCAACGCCGCGUGAAGGAAGACGGUUUUCGGAUUGUAAACUUCUUUUCUUAGUGAAGGAGCAAGUGACGGUAGCUAAGGAAUAAGCAUCGGCUAACUACGUGCCAGCAGCCGCGGUAAUACGUAGGAUGCGAGCGUUAUCCGGAAUUACUGGGUGUAAAGGGAGCGCAGGCGGGACUGCAAGUUGGAUGUGAAAUACCGCAGCUUAACUGCGGAGCUGCAUCCAAAACUUUAGUUCUUG
rnacentral:rRNA from 1 species